rnacentral:rRNA from 1 species
GAUGAACGCUGGCGGCGUGCCUAAUACAUGCAAGUCGAGCGAACAGACGAGGAGCUUGCUCCUCUGACGUUAGCGGCGGACGGGUGAGUAACACGUGGAUAACCUACCUAUAAGACUGGGAUAACUUCGGGAAACCGGAGCUAAUACCGGAUAAUAUAUUGAACCUCAUGGUUCAAUAGUUAAAGACGGUUUUGCUGUCACUUAUAGAUUGAUCCGCGCCGCAUUAGCUAGUUGGUAAGGUAACGGCUUACCAAGGCAACGAUGCGUAGCCGACCUGAGAGGGUGAUCGGCCACACUGGAACUGAGACACGGUCCAGACUCCUACGGGAGGCAGCAGUAGGGAAUCUUACGCAAUGGGCGAAAGCUUGACGGAGCAACGCCGCGUGAGUGAUGAAGGUCUUCGGAUCGUAAAACUCUGUUAUUAGGGAAGAACAAAUGUGUAAGUAACUAUGCACGUCUUGACGGUACCUAAUCAGAAAGCCACGGCUAACUACGUG